rnacentral:sRNA from 1 species
GCGAGCUCAGAUCAGCGUGGGGCGGAGGAGAAGUGGAGUUUGGAAGUUCAGGGGCACAGGGGCACAGGCCCACGACUGCAGCGGGAUGGACCAGUACUGCAUCCUGGGCCGCAUCGGGGAGGGCGCCCACGGCAUCGUCUUCAAGGCCAAGCAUGUGGAGACUGGCGAGAUAGUUGCCCUCAAGAAGGUGGCCCUAAGGCGGUUGGAGGACGGCUUCCCUAACCAGGCCCUGCGGGAGAUUAAGGCUCUGCAGGAGAUGGAGGACAAUCAGUAUGUGGUGCAACUGAAGGCUGUGUUCCCACACGGUGGAGGCUUUGUGCUGGCCUUUGAGUUCAUGCUGUCGGAUCUGGCCGAGGUGGUGCGCCAUGCCCAGAGGCCACUAGCGCAGGCACAGGUCAAGAGCUACCUGCAGAUGCUGCUCAAGGGCAUCGCCUUCUGCCAUGCCAACAACAUUGUACAUCGGGUCAGUCUCAGCAUAGGCCGGGCAUGGGGUCUGGGGAGCUGACUUGGCUUGGGGAUGGGGCUAGCCCUUGUAAAAGGUGUGAUAAGAAGUUGGGACAGAGCUGGUCAAGG